rnacentral:lncRNA from 1 species
ACGGUGCCAUUCACACAAAUCGCUUUCUACAGGGUCUUGAGGAGACACGGAGCCUGUGGAGUUAACAAGUGGUUCAGACGAUUCCUGAGUGAAGCCUUUCGAUGCACGGGGAUUUAGCUCAACCAGGUCCCAAGAAAACAGUUUAGAGAGCUGACAGCAAGUAGUUUCCUGUGACCUCUCGCUAUGGCCGUGCACCAGCUUCUCACAUGGGAAUCUGGACCAGGGAGACAUGAUGCUCCGUGGUGAGAGGCGUUGCUUUCGUCCUUUGGCUCACGAUGACCAGGGCUGGGGUGGAAGAGCUGAUGGGAUUUGCUGUCCACCCAACUGAAUAGGCUUCACUGGGACACACUGAGCGCCCUCCUUCAGCCAACAAUAUUGUACUGGCGGACUUCUUUUCAACUCUGAUUCCCAAUGUGCAAAUGUUAGGAGACAGCUGCCCGAGUCCAGCCAUCUCAGGUGGCAGUUCUUGUUUGUGGAGACUCCGCAGCAGCUGAGUGGCUGGACCGGGAAGUGGAAGCCUCUGUAAUGUAGCUCCAACAGCAAUGGUGGACACCAUCAUGGUUACCUGCACGGCACAGGUGGUUACAGAGCAGCACAGGACAUAUCUCUGCUGUCAACACCUCAUGUAUACACUGUGGCCCCAGAGUAGUAACUUUACACAGUGCUGAGAUAAAACCCGGGCAAGCACAAUGGGAGGGAGGGAGGGUUUAAUCUGGCUCACAGCUCUUGUCACAAAAUGCAGGAAGGAAUCCACAAAAUUCUAUUGACCCUUCCUCUACUUUACAAACCUAGACUCUAAUUUUCAAGCAGAUGAAAGCGGUUCCAGUAUGCCCUCUUACCCCUCUUUGUCAUUUCCCUUUUUCUACAUAUUUAUCAAUUUUGCCUUAUUGUUUAUUUCUAAAACUUUCACUCCCAUUACACAGUCAUCUAAUUGUGUUUAUAUAUGCUUUCCAUUCUUGGCCAAUCUCUGACUUUUCUUUUUUGCAUCUUUUAUUUCCCCCUUUUUUUUUCUCAACUAUAAUUUUUGGAAGAAUUUCGAUUUUACUUAAAAAAACCCUCAUGUUUUAAGUUUUAUUCUCUCUUAUUUAUUAAUAUAUAUAAUCUCAUUUUGUUUUGAGUUUCCUUAUUAGUAGGAAAUCUUUGUUUUUAUUGCUUGCUUGGUUUUUUUUUUCCUUAAAAAUUUUGUCACAAUAUCUUGCUCUAUUCCACCUGUAAAAUUCUUCUCCAUUUCUCUUCUUCAUAUUUAUUUAUUGUCUUCUAUUUCAUUUCAACUUCUUUCUAAAUUACAUUCAUUUACUCUUUUCACAUUUCAUUUUUCAAUCGAAAACAUUAACAUCAUAGGACACUCUGCAUUAGAUCUGCCUCUUUGGUUUUGUGCUCAUUGGUGAUGUAUUGGAGGGACUGCAUGGGUUUCCAUUGUGUCUCUCUAUCUCAGUUUGAUGUUGCUAUCACAAAUGUUUAACUUCAUUCUUCUGCUUGUUACUGAGAAUUGGGCC